CACAUACAUCCACUCACUUCCAUCUCCAAAUUCACCUAAAAUUAUUCUACUCCUAUCCAGAAGAGAAUAGCCAAAAAUAUUUUUCUAUCCCUGUUAUUCCCUAUGAAAUAAAUGCUCGAGUUAUCUUGGUUACUACCACUUGCUAUAUUAUUUCAGGAGAUGAGUGCUCUAAAAAAGGAAAAAAAGAAGAGAAAGGAUACGAGGAAAUAAAAAGGGGCAAGUGCCCGGAACCUCGAAGAAAAGAAAAAGCGAGACGAGAGGUAAAAAUGGACAAGUGUCCGACAGUAGAAUUAGGGGUACAAGAUACCCACC
rnacentral:lncRNA from 1 species